GGGAGGAGCUGUGGCUCAGUGUUACAGCAUCUUCUGCACAUGCAGAAGGUCCCAGGUUCAAUCCCAGGCAUACCCA
rnacentral:tRNA from 1 species